UUUAUGGAGAGUUUGAUCCUGGCUCAGGAUGAACGCUGGCGGCGUGCCUAAUACAUGCAAGUCGAGCGAACGGACGAGAAGCUUGCUUCUCUGAUGUUAGCGGCGGACGGGUGAGUAACACGUGGAUAACCUACCUAUAAGACUGGGAUAACUUCGGGAAACCGGAGCUAAUACCGGAUAAUAUUUUGAACCGCAUGGUUCAAAAGUGAAAGACGGUCUUGCUGUCACUUAUAGAUGGAUCCGCGCUGCAUUAGCUAGUUGGUAAGGUAACGGCUUACCAAGGCAACGAUGCAUAGCCGACCUGAGAGGGUGAUCGGCCACACUGGAACUGAGACACGGUCCAGACUCCUACGGGAGGCAGCAGUAGGGAAUCUUCCGCAAUGGGCGAAAGCCUGACGGAGCAACGCCGCGUGAGUGAUGAAGGUCUUCGGAUCGUAAAACUCUGUUAUUAGGGAAGAACAUAUGUGUAAGUAACUGUGCACAUCUUGACGGUACCUAAUCAGAAAGCCACGGCUAACUACGUGCCAGCAGCCGCGGUAAUACGUAGGUGGCAAGCGUUAUCCGGAAUUAUUGGGCGUAAAGCGCGCGUAGGCGGUUUUUUAAGUCUGAUGUGAAAGCCCACGGCUCAACCGUGGAGGGUCAUUGGAAACUGGAAAACUUGAGUGCAGAAGAGGAAAGUGGAAUUCCAUGUGUAGCGGUGAAAUGCGCAGAGAUAUGGAGGAACACCAGUGGCGAAGGCGACUUUCUGGUCUGUAACUGACGCUGAUGUGCGAAAGCGUGGGGAUCAAACAGGAUUAGAUACCCUGGUAGUCCACGCCGUAAACGAUGAGUGCUAAGUGUUAGGGGGUUUCCGCCCCUUAGUGCUGCAGCUAACGCAUUAAGCACUCCGCCUGGGGAGUACGACCGCAAGGUUGAAACUCAAAGGAAUUGACGGGGACCCGCACAAGCGGUGGAGCAUGUGGUUUAAUUCGAAGCAACGCGAAGAACCUUACCAAAUCUUGACAUCCUUUGACAACUCUAGAGAUAGAGCCUUCCCCUUCGGGGGACAAAGUGACAGGUGGUGCAUGGUUGUCGUCAGCUCGUGUCGUGAGAUGUUGGGUUAAGUCCCGCAACGAGCGCAACCCUUAAGCUUAGUUGCCAUCAUUAAGUUGGGCACUCUAAGUUGACUGCCGGUGACAAACCGGAGGAAGGUGGGGAUGACGUCAAAUCAUCAUGCCCCUUAUGAUUUGGGCUACACACGUGCUACAAUGGACAAUACAAAGGGCA
rnacentral:rRNA from 1 species